UCUCUCUCUCUCUCUCUCUUUCUCUCUUUCUCAUCUAUUUCUAUCGCAAACCUCAGCACAUGCAAAUCUCGCUAUAAAACCAAACAAAAAAGGAAUGAAAUCGAUAAAGCCGGCACCACACCAAACCGUUAUUGUGCAAAUGUGCAUUCUUGACCUUUUGCGUUAUCUAGCGGCUAAUGCGUCGUGUGCAGUGCAUUUACAAACGCGGGCGGCCGCGGCUGUGGUCGGAAGCCUUGGUAGCAGAAACGCGCCGGCACCACCAACAACAGAUUGUAUUCUUGGCGCGUACGACUGCGUCCUACACAGACAGCCGGGCAACUGAGGAAGGGAAAAGAACAUACACACACCACAAACAACCAGCGUGGUAGAAUGGGUUACAUUUGCAGUGUCAGAAGACAUCAUCUAUCGGGUGCUUUAUGGUUAGCAAAAAAAGGGCAAAGAAAUGAAUUGACGAAUGUAAAGGAAGCAUCGCGACUGCAUCAUGCCGCCACUCGCUGAGCCCGUACGCAGCAGCGUGCUGCGAGCCAGAAGGCAACAAACAAACCAACCACCAGGACCAGCAGGCACGACCUUCACAACUGGAGCCGCACAGAAAUGGUCCAUUUUGUGUGUGUGGAAAACGUGUUGUUUUUCUCACCCGCGUGUGGUAUGUUGGUUUUUUACACCCGUCCGCAUGAGGAAAACAUUCCAAGCAGGGGGAAAAUUGUGUUGUACGACUGUGGAAAUGCGGAAAGCAGACAAAACAUAGACACAAAACAUUCUAAAUAAUGCAAUAGUGCAAUAUUGCAUCACCGUAAGGAGUGGUCUAUACAAAAGAACGAAUUAUAACGGAAACCAUAUGAUACAGUCUGAAUAGUGGAUAAAGUUGUAAAGUAGAAAAAUAAUUGAAGCUCUUAGAACAUUGAUUUUGCUUAAUGAUAACGAAAAAGAACCUUGAUACAGUAGAGAUAACAGAAUAUAGAAUGUCAUACCAAAAUAAUGUUUGAAACUCAUUUAUCAUUACCACCGAUCGCGGUGGCAAGCCAAAGGAAAGCACAAAAGGGUCCACAAAACCGAUCGAAAGGCAACCAACGUGAUCCUCAUUGUGCCAGAAUGUGACAAUCAGAACGCUUCACGCCUGCACGACUCGGUACACUUGCAAGUACAGCAAAACUAAUAAAGAAGUAAUUAAACUCUUCGUCAAAGAAA